rnacentral:tRNA from 1 species
AUAGGUGUGCCCGAAUUGGUUAGGGAGCUGACUGUAAAUCAGUGGAUUACUCCAAUGUAGGUUCGAGUCCUACCGCCCACA